rnacentral:rRNA from 1 species
GGCCAAGCUAGUAAGGGCGUGUGGGGGAUGUCUCGGCGCCAGAAGGCGAAAGGGCGUGGAAGACUGCGAUAAGUCCGGGGGAGCUGUCAACGAGCGUUGAUCCCGGAAUCCCCGAGCUAACCCGGGGAACUGAAACAUCUCAGUACCCGGAGGAAAAGAAAGAAACCUCGACUCCGUCAGUAGCGGCGAGCGAAAGCGGACCAGCCCAAACCACAGGGGCAACCCUGUGGGGUUGUAGGACCGCACCAGCGGAUCCCAAGUCCUUAGCAGAACGGUCUGGAAUGGCCGGCCAAAGAGGGUGAAAGCCCCGUACGCGAAAGGGACGCGGGCCGCGCGGGAUCCUGAGUAGGACCCAUCACGUGGAAGUGGGUCUGAAUCUGGGAGGACCAUCUCCCAAGGCUAAGUACUCUCUGGCGACCGAUAGCGAACCAGUAGCGUGAGCGAAAGAUGGGAAGAACCCCGCAAGGGGAGGAUAGUGAACCUGAAACCACAUGCCUACAAGCGGUCGGAGGGCUAUGCCCCGUAAGGGGAAUUGCCUGACGGCGUGCCUUUUGCAUAAUGAUCCGGCGACUUACCGUAUCCAGCAAGGUUAAGGGUCUCUGGCCCGUAGCCGCAGCGAAAGCGAGUCUGACAAGGGCGUACAGUUGGGUGCGGUAGACGCGAAACCACGUGACCUACACAUGGCCAGGAUGAAGUUGGGGUAACACCCAAUGGAGGUCCGAACCCACUAGUGUUGAAAAACUAGGGGAUGAGCUGUGUGGAGGAGUGAAAGUCUAACCAAACGUGGAGAUAGCUCGUUCUCUCCGAAAUAACUUUAGGGUUAGCGUCCGGAUAGUUGGCCGUGGGGGUAGAGCGACUGAUUCCGAACGGGGGCCUACCCGGCUACCCGUCGGAGCCAAACUCCGAAUACCACGGUGCAAGUCCGGGCAGCUAGACGGUGGGGGAUAAGCUUCAUCGUCGAGAGGGGAACAACCCAGAUCACCCGCUAAGGCCCCCAAGACGUGCUCAGUGCGAAAGGAAGUUGGAUCCCUGAGACAGCCAGGAUGUUGGCUUAGAAGCAGCCACCAUUUAAACAACGCGUAAUAGCGGACUGGUCGAGGGAUCCUGCGCCGAUAAUGAACGGGACUAAGCACGUCGCCGAAGCGGUGGGCAGUCGUACGACUGCGGUAGGAGAGCGUUGCCUGCGCAGCGAAGCGGUACGGACAACGAGCCGUGGAGCGCAGGCAAGUGAAUAUGCCGGAAUGAGUAGACGAUAAAACGGGUGAGAAUCCCGUUCGCCGAAAGCCUAAGGUUUCCUGGGGAAGGUAAAUCCGCCCAGGGUUAGCCGGUGCCUAACCCGAGGCCGAAAGGCGUAGGGGAUGGGGAGCAGGUUAAUAUUCCUGCGCUCCUCACGCAAGAUGGGACGCUGGCCAAUGACGGUGUAGGUCAAACAGAUGACCUCAGGGCGCUUUAUGAUCCCGAUAUCCGCCAACGGCCAGCCAAGAAAACCGCGUGAGAAACCGUACCACAAACCGACACAGGUAGGCGGGAUGAAGAUUCUCAGGCGCUCGAGAGAACGCUCGUGAAGGAACUCUGCAAGUUGACCCCGUAACUUCGGGAGAAGGGGUGCCUCACUCCGGUGAGGCCGCAGUGAAAGGGCUCUGGCGACUGUUUACUAAAAACACAGGUCUGUGCCAAGGCGUAAGCCGCUGUAUACAGACUGACGCCUGCCCGGUGCUGGUAAGUUAAGGAAGCGGGUUAGCCGCAAGGCGAAGCUCGCAACCGAAGCUCCAGUAAACGGCGGCCGUAACUAUGACGGUCCUAAGGUAGCGAAAUUCCUUGUCGGGUAAGUUCCGACCUGCAUGAAUGGCGUAACGACUGGAGCACUGUCUCCACGAGCGACUCGGUGAAAUUGUAGUUGUCGUGAAGAUGCGACAUACCCGCAGCUAGACGGAAAGACCCCGUGAACCUUUACUGCAGCUUGGUAUUGGGUUUAGGCCCAGCAUGCGUAGCGUAGGUGGGAGGCUACGAACCGCCACUUUCGGGUGGCGGGGAGCCGACCCUGAAACACCACCCUUGCUGUGCUUGAAUUCUAACUGGGUGUGUGCAGCACCCAGGACAGUGCUAAGUGGGCAGUUUGAUUGGGGCGAUCUCCUCCUAAAAGGUAACGGAGGAGUCCAAAGGUACCCUCAGCCCGGUUGGCAAUCGGGCAGCGAGCGCAAUGGUAGAAGGGUGCUUGACUGCGAGUCCGAUGGGACAAGCAGAGACGAAAGUCGGGCAUAGUGAUCCGGUGGUUCCGUAUGGAAGGGCCAUCGCUCAACAGAUAAAAGGUACUCCGGGGAUAACAGGCUUAUCUCCUCUGAGCGUCCAUAGCGGCGAGGAGGUUUGGCACCUCGAUGUCGGCUCAACUGCGGGCCCCUGGUCCGGGUAACUGGCCAGGAAACAUUCGGCUUAUAACGGUGAAGCCCUCCCCUACGACCAGCCCGUAGGCGGGUAACACCGUGGGAAGUCGAGGAGUUAUGAGUCUGACCCACUCAAGCAGAGGCAUCAUCGCGGGGACAAUCCUCGGAGACGGCUGCCUCGAACGGAACGGACGUUACGUCCGACUCCGCAUCGACCACGGCGCACGGCAAAAAUGCCUAGUGGAGUGGAAGCAUCAGCAACUCGCUGAGUUGCACCCCACUGCCAUCCGGCGCAUCGCCGUCGCCGACCAGCGAACGAGACGAACCUACGUUCAUUACCGUUUCGAGACAGCUAGCUCUCCGCUCUUGGAAGAGUACUACCGGCUCUUCUAUCCCCAUGGGAAAAAAAGCGUGCCGGUUGAGAUUGCCUCGUAUCUUACCUCUGCACUCAGUAUUGCCGUCUGGUACAUGGAUGAUGGCAGCCGAAGGCAAGACUGCUGUGCGGGUUAUCUCAACACCCAAGCAUUUGCCUGGGAAGAGGUAUCCCGACUGCAAGUUUGUUUGGCGAAAAACUUCGGCAUCGCUAGCCGCCUUCAUUGGGCUGCUGGAAGGCCGCGAAUCUACAUCGCCGGGAACGACUUUAGAACCCUUUGCGAUCUGAUUCGUGACCACGUGUUGCCAGAACUGCAAUACAAGCUCCUUUGACCCCGUAACGACUGAUGGCUGAAAAGCAACGAUGAUGGCUGAGUAAGCCUGAGAUAGGUCGUCUGGGUAGCAACGCUCAGGCACCUAUCAGACGCCGAACUCCGUUUGAGGUCAGCGAACGGAUGAUGAUAUAGUCUACGCCACGGGAAACCGUGGAGCACCGUGCAUCGCAUCCUGGGGGUGGAGAAGCUCCCAAGGGUUCGGCUGUUCGCCGAUGAAAGCGGUACGUGAGCUGGGUUUAGACCGUCGUGAGACAGGUCGGUCCCUAUCUGCUGUGGGCGGAGGAAACUUGAGGGGCUUUCUCCCUAGUACGAGAGGACUGGGAGGGACACACCUCUGGUGUGCCAGUUGUCGCGCUAGCGGCACCGCUGGGUAGCCACGUGUGGACGGGAUAAACGCUGAAAGCAUAUAAGCGUGAAACCUCCCCCAAGAUCAGGUUUCCUGCCGAAAGGCGAAGGCUCCUGGAAGACGACCAGGUUGAUAGGCCGGACGUGCAAGUGCAGCAAUGCACUCAGCUAACCGGUACUAACAGCCGAGCGCUUGGCCGCA